CGCACCUUGCGCUCCUUGGUAUUCCGAGGAGCAUGCCUGUUUGAGUGUCUUGAAGUCAUCAACCCACACCGUUUGAAACGGUAUGCGUGUUGGAGCUGGGGGCUUGCUGCCGAGAGGUGGCUCCCCUCAAAUGCAUCGGUUGGGCCUGUGGGUCGAACUCGAUUGGGUGUUGUAUUAUCCUCGCUCUAACGAGAUGUUCCCCUAUUUGUGCCCCUCCACGACCUGCCUUCAUGAGUGGCGGGUCAAGCAAAACUUUGAAAUUCUGACCUCAAAUCAGGUAGGACUACCCGCUGAACUUAA
rnacentral:misc_RNA from 1 species